rnacentral:lncRNA from 1 species
UGAAACAACAAUCCUUCCAGACCAUCUUCUCANGGAGCUGUCCAAGAAGUGCCCCCACGCGUCCCCGUUGGAAACCAGCAUCGUGUGAUGCCAGGACAUUCCAUCUGAGCUCAUAAACAUUUCGCAAAGUGUUGGUCAACACCNCGUCCGGAACGCAGGCCGCCGGCUGGACAAGACCCUGCUCUGAUCCUGCGUUAUAAUCUCCACGGAGCAGCUGCUAUUCCGGUUUGNUUCUACAAGGAGGUGGCACUGUUGGGGAAAGAAAGGAAGAUCGUAGAAGACUAGGAGGUCAACUUGGCCAGUUGGCCCGCAAGUUAUUGCUCCAAAAACAUGCGUGGGUGGCCUGUUUGGUGCCUAAGGUGACAAGGCACCUUGGACUGUGCCUCUAAAUCCAAGAUGGCGGCACUCUGCUCUUCCAGAUGUUGGUGAACCACAACUCCUAACCUUCCAAGCCAUUGGCCUAGAGUGGCUGAGACCAAAGGAAGCUCAAUGGUAGCUCAACAUCUGAUUGGCCAGUGUUCAGCCAUUCAUGUCCAACCUGCCCUGACAGAUUUAUUAUGUGGAUCCUUGUUAUUG